rnacentral:rRNA from 1 species
AUUGAACGCUGGCGGCAGGCUUAACACAUGCAAGUCGAGCGGGGGAAGGUAGCUUGCUACCGGACCUAGCGGCGGACGGGUGAGUAAUGCUUAGGAAUCUGCCUAUUAGUGGGGGACAACAUCUCGAAAGGGAUGCUAAUACCGCAUACGUCCUACGGGAGAAAGCAGGGGAUCUUCGGACCUUGCGCUAAUAGAUGAGCCUAAGUCGGAUUAGCUAGUUGGUGGGGUAAAGGCCUACCAAGGCGACGAUCUGUAGCGGGUCUGAGAGGAGGGGCCGCAACACUGGGACUGAGACACGGCCCAGACUCCUACGGGAGGCAGCAGUAGGGAAUAUUGGACAAUGGGGGGAACCCUGAUCCAGCCAUGCCGCGUGUGUGAAGAAGGCCUUAUGGUUGUAAAGCACUUUAAGCGAGGAGGAGGCUACUUUAGUUAAUACCUAGAGAUAGUGGACGUUACUCGCAGAAUAAGCACCGGCUAACUCUGUGCCAGCCGCCGCAGUAA